UUGUCGGCUAAGCAAUGUGGAUACUUCGUUUAAUACUCACUUUGAUUGACUACAAUGGAUAUGGAGGGAGAAACCUCUCACGCCAAUGUGCGCGUGAGGGUUCGAUCCCGCCUUACCAGCAUCCUCAUGCGCAAUCUGACGUUUUU
rnacentral:vault_RNA from 1 species